AAAUAAGAAAGUGAACUAAAUAAAAUGAGAAAAAUUAAAAAUAAAAAGAUUGUCACAAGGUAUGGUUCAAUUUACAAAAGGAUAAAUUUUACAAAAUGAUGCCAAAUUAAUUGAAACGGAAUGUAACAACGACUUACGUUAUUUAGAUAAUACUGGAGACGUAUGUGUUAUUUUGAUAUCUGAUGUCGAACAUUACAAUAAUCAAAUAUGCCUUGUUCAGUCUGGGGGAGCCGCCCAUUAUUUGAUGCAUGUAGAGUCGUUCAGGCAUUCUUGAUGAUAUGAAAUGAAAAAAAUAUUUUAAUCAACGGACGGAC
rnacentral:lncRNA from 1 species